UUUUUUUUUUUUUUUUUUAAUUAAAUGAAUGGAGGGCGGCGGCAACUGCCGCAGCUGGCUCAGCUGCGCGAACUGUGCCCCCUCCCAGCCUGCGAGAGGAGAUGUGGAAGCUCAAUCCAGGACAACCAGUGUGAGCAUAGAACAGGAGAGAAGAAAAAAACAGCCAAGAGAAGCCAGUAGAGGACCUGCCCCAACAAAACGGAGGAGCAAAUCCAGCGAGGAGACACCAUGGGAGUAACCGAAUGGCGUUCAGCUGCGGCGGAGAAAGGACCUCAGCUUGUGUGGACCUGUGUACUCUCGUCCGUACUCGGCCUUUUCCUUCUAGAACAGCUGGGACCCGCGCACCGCCCUUCGGCUGUACCCAGGAAGCGCCUGAGUGCGCACCCUUGAGCCUUGUAACCUCCCUGCAGAGGCUGUAAUCAUCAGCUCCAGUGAAGGUGGGGAAACUGAGGCCCAGGGAGGUUACACAAGUAGCCAAAAGUCACCACCUCCUGGACCCCCUGGAGGCUUUUGGAACACCUUAGUUAGAUUUGGUUCACCCUAGAAGUUAAUGUUGGUAACCAUGGAGCCAUACUGCCUGGGAAACCUACUCAGAGUCCCCAGUCAUCAAAAGUGGCAGUUUGCAUUGGGAAGACCAAAGCCACAAUUAUUUAAUGAGGAGCGUUCCCUAUCAUUUCCAGCCAGCCACCGUCUUUCAGAAGUUGCUUGGAUCUGUUUCACCUGUGUCUUUCUGCAUCCUUACUUCUCCCCCCACCCCCCACUUUGUAAGAUUUCUGGAAGCCUCUCGUGCAGUUAAUGUUCUUUAUUAGAAGGAAUCUGCAGUCCAUGGCAGAGUGGUCCACUCUAAUCUGUGGUCUAGGGGAGGGCUAUCUUUUGGAGUACAGGGUGUUGUGGUCUAGGGGAGGGCUAUCUUUUGGAGUUCAGGGUGUUGUUUUGGAGCAAUUAAUGCUGGUAAUUCCCAGCGGCUGCCCUGGGCUUCUAGGUUUGAAUAUUCAAAGCAGCUAAUAUGCCAGACACUGUGUGUAGCUACCUUCUUUCAUUUAAUCCUUACGAUAGUCUCACACAUGAUAGGCAUUGCUAUCCCUAUGUGCAGAUGGGCAAACAGGUUGGGGAGCUGAUCAGCUCACACACUGCAGUGGAAGAAUAGGCGUCACUGAGUCACCACGUUCUGAUUACUGGUCGUGUCCCUCUUUCUUACUUUAAACCAGACUAGUAGGUAGUGAAGGAAGGGUAGGAUAUUGGGGGUGGAGGGUGUUGGUCACCUCUGCCUUUAGGGAGCUCUGGGCCAGAUCCCACUUUCUGGGUGAAAAGAACCUGGCUGGCUGACACUUGUGGGCUGGAAUCUUCUCUUUUGGAGCCUUUUAAGGUCCUAGUGGCUUGAAGAAAGAGGGGGACCUGAUGUGAAGUCCGAGUUCUUUCCACUCUGCUUGAAUGGGGAAAUGGGAUUCUUUAAAAAAAUUAUCUGGUGCUGGAUUCCUAAGGGUGAA